UUACAUUUCAAUAACACGUUGUUUUUAAAUUUACAAUCAGCUUCUACAUAUAUAUGACACAUGUAUGAGAUUAAUGUAUGUGGAGGAAGUGAAGACAGAAACAAAACAUGAAAAACGUAGAGAGAGAGAGAGAAGCUCAUCAUCUGAGUCAAAGACCUAGAAAGAAAAGAACAAUUUCAAAACCAAAAAUGGAAGAAAGACAUAGUAACAAGCAACUAAGACUAAUGUCCAGGACCCUUUUUGCUAGGUCCAGAAGCAAGUUUGUAGGCCAAGCUUCGUGCAAAUUGACGAGUGCUAGAGUUGUUAGAAGCAACAGCAAAUGUAGCCAUUCCAAGAGAAGAAUCUUCUCCUUUGAAAUCCUCACAACCGUCACCUACCGGUGUCUUUAACGCCUCUGGUCGAAGAACUCUUCCAUACACAAAACAAAACUGCGAUGAAACCACAAACACUGUGAUAAUCAUCACAAUCCCAAGACUACUCUUCUUCAUCUGCAUCUUAGUUUUUCCAAGCACGUACUAUUCUUUUGAGUAUUUAAUUUUUCUCUCUAAGAGCAAGAGCUAUAUAAGAAAUGUAACAGUUUGUAAAGAUUUUGCUCUUGUGUUGAGUUGGCCUAAACUAUGAGAUGCUACAUGGUUUAUAUACAGCAAGUUUCUGGCAGAGACGGUGAAGCAAUUUCCAAGUGGGGACCUUAAAAGCUGCAAGCUGA
rnacentral:lncRNA from 1 species